rnacentral:lncRNA from 12 species
GCAGGGGUGCCCCUCCCCGCCUGCGGACGCAGCGCACCGGCACCCGGCGCGGGCGUGGACACAGGUGGCAGGGCCGGUGUGGGCGGGUGGGAGAGUGUGCAGGGUGGGGGUGAGGGGGCAUCCCAGGUCCAAGGGCGCUACAGGGACGCUGGCACAGCAGCGAGGCUGGGGGGCGGGCGCCGCGGGGGCGCAGGGCGGGGUGCGAGCUCCGGGGUAGUGGUGCAGGCCAGGGCGCUGGCUGCAGGCGGGGUGCGGGGUGCGGGGACCCAGGCUGCAGGCGGGGUGCGGGGCUCAGGGACCCAGGCUGCAGGCAGGGUGCAGGGUGCGGGGACCCAGGCUGCAGGCAGGGUGCAGGGUGCGGGGACCCAGGCUGCAGGUGGGGUGCAGGGUGUGGGGACCCAGGUUGCAGGCGGGGUGCAGGGUGCGGGGACCCAGGCUGCAGGCAGGGUGCGGGGUGUGGGGACCCAGGUUGCAGGCCAAGUGCGGGGACCCAGGCUGCAGGCGGGGUGCAGGGUGCGGGGACCCAGGCUGCAGGUGGGGUGCGGGGUGCCGCAAGGCCGGGAGCAGUCUGUCGGGGGUGUCUGGCAGGCACCUGGGGAGACAGGGAAUUUGGUCCUUCUGGGACUGAAGCUCAGGCCGCAACUCCUCCCCCCCUCCCCCCGCAGACCACAGCGCUUCAGCCCCUCACCCAGUGUAUGGCUAUUUAUAGUCUUGACAGUGUUUUCACGGCCUGGAUUUCAGAGGAUGCCUGAGGUGGGGAGCUGCAGGGAGCAGGUGCCCGGUAGGAGAAGCAGAGGGGCGGGUAGGCGGGACCCCUGGCCAGGGCGCCCUGGGGUAGCCUCACCUGUGAGGUCUGGGGGGGGCUUGGGCUGGGGGCGAGGGGGCCCUACCUUUGCAUGCUGCCCCGUCUGGGCCCAGGUGGCCCUGGUCAGACACGUCCUCUACUUUUCAUUGUGUUUGGGCUCGGGGUCUAUUCCCAAGGCCGCGGCACCGACUUUCAGCGGGUGCCCCCUGGGCUGCGGGAGCCCCAGGAUGGAUGAGGGGUGCCUCCUGGUGCAAAAGCCCCCGCGUGGCCCCUCCCGGGCACCCACGCUCAUUUCCUGUGGCCCCUUAGUGCCCGUCUCCUCCCGAGGACUGCGCCAAGCAGCGCUCAGGUUUGGGCCCCCACCCCAUGGGGGCCUUGCCCCGCUCGGCCACUGGUCGGCUCUAUGGCAACGCAUUCCUGCCAGGUGGCCUCUGCCAAACGACAUUUAUAGAUGUGCAUUUUUUUUUUUGUAUUAUAGAAACAUAGAGCUAUACUUAUUUCACGUAUUUAUUAUAAUUAGGGUUUAUACCAUUAUCUACUACUUUUUUUUUUUCAUUAUCUAUUACUUUUUAAGUCCAUUGGUUGUGUUUUGGGUUUUUUUUCUUACCCGUUAA